rnacentral:rRNA from 1 species
AACGAACGCUGGCGGCGUGCCUAAUACAUGCAAGUCGAACGUGAUUGGAAGCUUGCUUCCAUGAAAGUGGCGCACGGGUGAGUAACGCGUAGAUAAUCUGCCUGAUGAUUUGGGAUAACACUUCGAACGGGGUGCUAAUACCGGAUAAGCCCACGGUGUCUUUGGACACUGCGGGAAAAGGAGGGGACUUUCGGGCCUUCCGUCAUCAGAUGAGUCUGCGUACCAUUAGCUAGUUGGUAGGGUAAAGGCCUACCAAGGCGACGAUGGUUAGCUGGACUGAGAGGAAGAUCAGCCGCACUGUAACUGAGACAGGGUCCAGACUCCAACGGGAGGCAGCAGUGGGGAAUAUUGGUCAAUGGGGGAAACGCUGAACCAGCGACGCCGCGUGCGGGAUGAAGGGGCUUUGCCCUGUAAACCGCUGUCGGAGGGGAAGAAAAGCCGGGUCGCCCGGCUGGGACUGUACCCUUAAAGGAAGGUUCGGCUAACUACGUGCCAGCAGCCGCGGUAAGAC